UACAAAGGGGGCUAGCGUUGCUCGGAAUCACUGGGCGUAAAGGGUGCGUAGGCGGGUCUUUAAGUCAGGGGUGAAAUCCUGGAGCUCAACUCCAGAACUGCCUUUGAUACUGGAGAGCUUGAGUCCGGGAGAGGUGAGUGGAACUGCGAGUGUAGAGGUGAAAUUCGUAGAUAUUCGCAAGAACACCAGUGGCGAAGGCGGCUCACUGGCCCGGUACUGACGCUGAGGUGCGAAAGCGUGGGGAGCAAACAGG
rnacentral:rRNA from 1 species